rnacentral:lncRNA from 1 species
AACAGAAAUUCUAAUACUAUAAUAGCAACACUUCAAAUAAUACUAGUUCUAUCCCUGCAGGAAGAGCAGGAACAUGUGAUCGGUCCAGCACUACGGUGAGCAGAGGGCGACGGCCACGUCUCCAGGACCCAGACUCCAGUGCCUGUCUAAGACUGGACUUAAUCAGACCAUAAGAGAAUGCUCCGCUCCCACACCCCACCACCAUGCUGACAAAACUCAGGGAGCCUGAGGUUAGAAAGGAGAAUGAGCAGAGUCUUAAGCAAGUUACAGACACAAAACAACACGGUUGGAAGUUGGAACUUGUGACCAAACCCAGUGGAAAGAGCACAUUGCAAGAAACAGAAAAUACUCGCAGAAAAAGAUAUAAAGAAUUCAGUCCUUACAAGUCAUCAGAAGAGCUACAAGAAUUGAAGUUACCACUCAAUAGUAAAUUCAAGAUCACAUCAUUAUGACGGCGAGUUAAAGAUCCGGAAUCUGCUGUUACUCUCUCUGCUGCACCACAAAUGUCUCUCACCUCCACGUAGCUGGCACCACCAACCAGGAGCUUGAAUACCUCCUGGCUUAGCAGGGCUCAGGUACUGUGUCUUAGGUGUAUAGCUUCCAGAAAGGAACUUACAUAAGAAAAAUGCUGCUUCUUAUUUACAAAAAUAAUUAACAUUCUGAGUUGUCAAUAAGUACUUGAU